GACGAACGCUGGCGGCGUGCCUAAUACAUGCAAGUCGAACGCUUCUUUCCUCCCGAGUGCUUGCACUCAAUUGGAAAGAGGAGUGGCGGACGGGUGAGUAACACGUGGGUAACCUACCCAUCAGAGGGGGAUAACACUUGGAAACAGGUGCUAAUACCGCAUAACAGUUUAUGCCGCAUGGCAUAAGAGUGAAGGGCGCUUUCGGGUGUCGCUGAUGGAUGGGCCCGCGGUGCAUUAGCUAGUUGGUGAGGUAACGGCUCACCAAGGCCACGAUGCAUAGCCGACCUGAGAGGGUGAUCGGCCACACUGGGACUGAGACACGGCCCAGACUCCUACGGGAGGCAGCAGUAGGGAAUCUUCGGCAAUGGACGAAAGUCUGACCGAGCAACGCCGCGUGAGUGAAGAAGGUUUUCGGAUCGUAAAACUCUGUUGUUAGAGAAGAACAAGGACGUUAGUAACUGAACGUCCCCUGACGGUAUCUAACCAGAAAGCCACGGCUAACUACGUG
rnacentral:rRNA from 1 species